ACUUGGUUGUAUGGAAGUGGAUUAUCAGAACUUGAUAAUAUUAGUGUCACUAAAGUUGGUAUACAACCCCUCGCUGCUAAAUUUGACUGGCUUUUU
ensembl:misc_RNA Y_RNA Y RNA